rnacentral:rRNA from 1 species
CUUAGUGCGGACGGGUGAGUAACGCGUGGGUAACCUGCCUUGCACUGGGGGAUAACACUUAGAAAUAGGUGCUAAUACCGCAUAAGCGCACGGUCCUGCAUGGGACAGUGUGAAAAACUCCGGUGGUGCAAGAUGGACCCGCGUCUGAUUAGCUGGUUGGCGGGGUAAAGGCCCACCAAGGCGACGAUCAGUAGCCGGCCUGAGAGGGUGGACGGCCACAUUGGGACUGAGACACGGCCCAAACUCCUACGGGAGGCAGCAG